UAGGGAAUCUUCCGCAAUGGACGCAAGUCUGACGGAGCAACGCCGCGUGAGUGAAGAAGGAUUUCGGUUCGUAAAACUCUGUUGUUAGAGAAGAACAGCGCAUAGAGUAACUGUUAUGCGUGUGACGGUUUCUAACCAGAAAGCCACGGCUAACUACGUGCCAGCAGCCGCGGUAAUACGUAGGUGGCAAGCGUUGUCCGGAUUUAUUGGGCGUAAAGCGAGCGCAGGCGGUCAAUUAAGUCUGAUGUGAAAGCCCCCGGCUCAACCGGGGAGGGUCAUUGGAAACUGGUUGACUUGAGUGCAGAAGAGGAGAGUGGAAUUCCAUGUGUAGCGGUGAAAUGCGUAGAUAUAUGGAGGAACACCAGUGGCGAAGGCGACUCUCUGGUCUGUAACUGACGCUGAGGCUCGAAAGCGUGGGUAGCAAACAGG
rnacentral:rRNA from 1 species